AUUGAACGCUGGCGGCAGGCCUAACACAUGCAAGUCGAACGGUAGCACAGAGAGCUUGCUCUCGGGUGACGAGUGGCGGACGGGUGAGUAACGUCUGGGAAACUGCCCGAUGGAGGGGGAUAACUACUGGAAACGGUAGCUAAUACCGCAUAACGUCGCAAGACCAAAGUGGGGGACCUUCGGGCCUCACACCAUCGGAGGUGCCCAGAUGGGAUUAGCUAGUAGGUGGGGUAAUGGCUCACCUAGGCGACGAUCCCUAGCUGGUCUGAGAGGAUGACCAGCCACACUGGAACUGAGACACGGUCCAGACUCCUACGGGAGGCAGCAGUGGGGAAUAUUGCACAAUGGGCGCAAGCCUGAUGCAGCCAUGCCGCGUGUAUGAAGAAGGCCUUCGGGUUGUAAAGUACUUUCAGCGGGGAGGAAGGCGGUGAAGUUAAUAGCUUAACCGAUUGACGUUACCCGCAGAAGAAGCACCGGCUAACUCCGGGCCAGCAGCCGCGGUAA
rnacentral:rRNA from 1 species